CCUACGGGCGGCAGCAGUAGGGAAUAUUGCACAAUGGGGGAAACCCUGAUGCAGCGACGCCGCGUGAGUGAAGAAGUAUUUCGGUAUGUAAAGCUCUAUCAGCAGGGAAGAAAAUGACGGUACCUGACUAAGAAGCCCCGGCUAACUACGUGCCAGCAGCCGCGGUAAUACGUAGGGGGCAAGCGUUAUCCGGAUUUACUGGGUGUAAAGGGAGCGUAGACGGCAGCACAAGUCUGGAGUGAAAUGCCAGGGCUUAACCCCGGAACUGCUUUGGAAACUGUGCAGCUAGAGUGCAGGAGAGGUAAGUGGAAUUCCUAGUGUAGCGGUGAAAUGCGUAGAUAUUAGGAGGAACACCAGUGGCGAAGGCGGCUUACUGGACUGUAACUGACGUUGAGGCUCGAAAGCGUGGGGAGCAAACAGGAUUAGAUACCCGGGUAGUC
rnacentral:rRNA from 1 species